rnacentral:rRNA from 1 species
GGCAGCAGUGGGGAAUCUUGGACAAUGGGCGCAAGCCUGAUCCAGCCAUGCCGCGUGAGUGAUGAAGGCCCUAGGGUCGUAAAGCUCUUUCGCCUGUGAUGAUAAUGACAGUAGCAGGUAAAGAAACCCCGGCUAACUCCGUGCCAGCAGCCGCGGUAAUACGGAGGGGGUUAGCGUUGUUCGGAAUUACUGGGCGUAAAGCGCGCGUAGGCGGACUAUUAAGUCAGAGGUGAAAUCCCGGGGCUCAACUCCGGAACUGCCUUUGAUACUGGUAGUCUAGAGUUCGAGAGAGGUGAGUGGAAUUCCGAGUGUAGAGGUGAAAUUCGUAGAUAUUCGGAGGAACACCAGUGGCGAAGGCGGCUCACUGGCUCGAUACUGACGCUGAGGUGCGAAAGUGUGGGGAGCAAACAGGAUUAGAUACCCUGGUAGUCCACACCGUAAACGAUGAAUGCCAGUCGUCGGAUAGCAUGCUAUUCGGUGACACACCUAACGGAUUAAGCAUUC